rnacentral:rRNA from 1 species
CAACUUUCAGCGGUGGAUGUCUAGGUUCCCACAACGAUGAAGAACGCAGCGAAAUGCGAUACGUAAUGCGAAUUGCAAGACCUCGUGAAUCAUUAAGAUUUUGAACGCACAUUGCGCUUUCGGGAUUUUCCUGAUAGCAUGCUUGUCUGAGUGUCUGUG